rnacentral:rRNA from 1 species
UUAUGGAUGUAUUUGGCGUAGGUUUAUGGUUUUUCUUAGUAGGUUGGACAUGCGAGUUUGUAUUUGGCGUAGCCUAGAAAAUUAUUAGGUUUAUUAUUUUGGAGGUUAAAUUGGUGCCAGCAUCUGCGGUUAUACUUAGUCCUAAAAAUUAGGUUAGAAGGAUUAUUUUUCAAAGUGUUAGUUUUUUUGGUGAAAUAAUGCUAGUUUGUUUAUUGUUAAUAAGAUUAGGUCCAGCUAGAACCAGGAUUAGAGACCCUGCUACUGUCUGUUAAAUCUAAUUAUUAUAUAUAUAAGUUACAUGGUCUGGCGGCUUAAUUGUUUUAGAGGAGUUUGCUUUUAAUCGAUAAGGCUCGUUGUCUUUUGUUUAUUUUAUUUAUGUACACCGUCAUUUAGUUAAUUUUAACAGAAAAAUUAAGGUAUUUAGUUAGAUAGGUUAGAUCAAGGUGCAGAUUAAUUAAAAAGUAGUUAACUACAAUAUAGAGUAAUAUAUGGGCGUAAGAAUGUGGAUACUAAUAAGUGGAUUUAAGAGUAAUUAGUUAUGUUUGAUUUUAUUUAUUAAGUGUACAAAUUGCCCGUCAAUCUCUAAGAGAUAAGUCGAAACAAAGUAGAGGUACUGGAAGGUACUUCU